rnacentral:rRNA from 1 species
UGGGGAAUAUUGCACAAUGGGCGCAAGCCUGAUGCAGCAACGCCGCGUGAACGAUGAAGGUCUUCGGAUCGUAAAGUUCUGUUGCAGGGGAAGAUAAUGACGGUACCCUGUGAGGAAGCCCCGGCUAACUACGUGCCAGCAGCCGCGGUAAUACGUAGGGGGCUAGCGUUGUCCGGAAUCACUGGGCGUAAAGGGUUCGCAGGCGGAAUAACAAGGCAGAUGUGAAAGGCAUGGGCUCAACCCAUGUAAGCAUUUGAAACUGUAAUUCUUGAGAAGUGGGGAGGUAAGUGGAAUUCCUAGUGUAGCGGUGAAAUGCGUAGAUAUUAGGAGGAAUAACUGUGGCGAAGGCGACUUACUGGCCGGAAAUCUGCCGCUGAGGAACGAAAGAGUGGGUAGCAAACAGG